rnacentral:rRNA from 1 species
GAUGAACGCUGGCGGCGUGCCUAACACAUGCAAGUCGAGCGAACCCUUCGGGGUGAGCGGCGGACGGGUGAGUAACGCGUGGGUAACCUGCCCUGUACACACGGAUAACAUACCGAAAGGUAUGCUAAUACGAGAUAACAUAUUUUAAUCGCAUGGUUAAGAUAUCAAAGCUCCGGCGGUACAGGAUGGACCCGCGUCUGAUUAGCUAGUUGGUGAGGUAAUGGCUCACCAAGGCGACGAUCAGUAGCCGACCUGAGAGGGUGAUCGGCCACACUGGAACUGAGACACGGUCCAGACUCCUACGGGAGGCAGCAGUGGGGAAUAUUGCACAAUGGGCGAAAGCCUGAUGCAGCAACGCCGCGUGAGCGAUGAAGGCCUUCGGGUCGUAAAGCUCUGUCCUCAAGGAAGAUAAUGACGGUACUUGAGGAGGAAGCCCCGGCUAACUAC